CCAGUGUCACACCCUGCAAGACCCUCUGUGUGGAGCAGAGUGCUGACACCUGGGCAGCUCAGGUGUGUGAGCUGCAGGAGAGGUAUUUGAAUUUCCUGGUGUCUGCGCUACAGCGAGCACAAAACAAAGGCAUGGCAUAGCUCCCCUGUGUCCACCUCAGGCCCUUCCUGAGAAAGACAGAACAAUUCAAUCAAGAUUCCCGAGGAAAAAUGCCCACACCUGGGAGAAAGCUUAUUCUGUGGCCUCCAGGUGCAGGUACUGGUGUCUUUGUGGAUUAUUCCUGAAGGGCUGUGUGCUUCCCAUUUCCCCGCAGCUGUGCCUCACCCCGCCAGGGCUCAGUUGUGGUUUAACCCCAGCAGCAGCUGAGCCCCACACGGGUGCUCACUCACUCCCCACUGAUGGGGGAGAGAAUCUGAAGUGAGAAACUCACGGCUUGAGGUGAAGACAGUUCAACAGGGGAGGCAAAAGCCAAGCAAGCAUGCACAAGCAAGGUGAAACAAGGAAUACACUCACCCCUUAUCAGCAGGCAGGAGUCCAGCCAUCUCCAGGAGAGCAGGGCUUCAUCACAUGUGACAGUGGCUUGGGAAGACAAAUGCCAUCCCACUGCACUUCUCCAUACUGAGCGCGAUGCCACAUGGUGUGGGACAGCCCUUGGGUCAGCUGUCCUGGCUGUGUCCUCUCCUGACUCUUUUUGCCUCCCCAGUCUCCUCUCUGGUGAGGAACAGAAAAGGCCUUGACUCUGUGUAAACACUGCUCAGCAAUUACAAAAACAUCCCUGGAUUGUCAACACUGUUUCCAGCACAAAUGCAGAACACAGUGCCAUAUAAACCACUAUGGAAAAAUUAAAACCAGCACAGGUUCUUGGUGUUUUCACCUUUUCUUGAACAUUCCUGUCCCUUCGCUGUCCUUCUCCCUUGGCAGUGCUGAUAUACACUCCAGAUUGGUUCAGGGCUGUGCUCAGUCUGAACAGAAAACUGCCUUGAGACUGCAGUUCAGUCAUUUUUACGGACAGACCCUACAGACCAUCAGAUACUGACUUCACUGAACUGUCCUGCCUGUUCCUUCAGUGUGUUGUGAUCACUGGUCCCUCAAGCUUCCACCUUCUCCUGGCUCUACCAGCAGUGCUGUCUCCUGUGAGUUGAGUGACUCCCAAGAGGAUUUUGGUUUUUAACUCCCUCUUCUCCUUCCCUGAUACCAUAAGUGUCUCAAGUGAAGCAGCCGUGCUCGUAACAGUGCAGAUUUCUGGUGGGAUUUGAGCCACGAGAGCAGGGAGCUGCUUUGGAAUACUUCAUCUUGGGAUGGUGUCCUUUGGCCACUGGACCCUUCUCUGCUGCAGGAUCAAGUGA